CUUGAUCUCAGAUAAGGAGGAUUCUUCAAUGCUGUUAUAGGAAACAGCAAACAUCCUUCUAAGUAAAAUAUUUCAGCAAAAUGGAUCCAUGAACCCAGCAGUUUUUGGUCUAUCUAUCUUAUCUUGAUCAUUAAAAAAAUCAAUUUUAUAAUAAAUUAACUCUGUUAACCAAGUAGAUAACUUUGUAACUCAUUCAUAAUAUGACAAAUACUAUUUCACCAUUCUAAACUACAUUUUUUUUUUUUUUUGAGAUGGAGUCUUGCUCUGUUGCCAGGCAGGAGUGCAGUGGCGCAAUCUCGCUCAUUGCAACCUCUGCCUCCCAGGUUCAAGCGAUUCUCCUGCCUCAGCCACUGGAGUAGCUGGGACUGCAGGUGUCCUCUGCCAUGCCUGGCUAAUUUUUGUGUUUUUAGUAGAGACGAGGUUUCACCAUGUUGGCCGGGAUGGUCUUGGUCUCCUGACCUCGUGAUCUGCCCGCCUGGGCCUCCCAAAGUGCUGGGAUUACAGGCGUGAGUCACUGUGCCUGGCCAAUUACACUUUUUUUUAUUUUUUAUUUUUUUUUACAAAGGCUCGCUCUUGCCCAGGCUGGAAUGCCGUGGCACGAUCUCAGCUCACUGCAACCUCCACCUCCCAGAUUCAAGUGAUUCUCCUGCCUCAGUCUCCUGAGUAGCUGGGAUUACAGGUGCUUGCCACCAUGCCCGGCUAAUUUUUGUAUUUUUAGUAGAGACGGGUUUUCAGCCACGUUGGUCAGGCUGGUCUUGAACUCCUGACCUCAAGUGAUCCGUCUGCCUCGGUCUCCCAAAGUGCUGGGAUUUCAGGCGCGAGCCACUGCGCCUGGUCUGAAUUACAUAUUCUAAAAUUAAAGUAACUAGAUCUGUGAUUUUCAACCUUUAAUUGCCUAACAAUAAUCUGGAAUGUAGAUAGAAUCAUCUGGAUUUCAUUCAUCUUCAGGGAUUCCGGUUUAGUAGAACUGAAAAGGGGCCAAGAAUUUGCAUUUUAACAUGGUCUCUGGGUGAUCUUGGUGCAAGUGGUCCCUGGAUCUCACCGAUUAACCCAGCCACCCAUCAUGAGAGCCUGUGCUUGUUACUUUGCCUCAGUUUGCUCCUUAUACAAACUCCUGGAGAGUCUUGCAAAGUUCAGCUGACAGUAUUGGGCAGGUCCAAUCUUUCUGGACAUUCCUCUGCUGGGUGUUUCCUGGGUGUCUGUUUGUCUUACCUAAUGUCUUCAAGACUUGCAGUUAGAACAGCUCAUUAACUAAUGUGUUUAAAUUCCGUGAAUUGAGUAAUCCAGUUGCUGAGACAGGAAAUUCAUCUCUUUAUCUUCUCCUAAUCCCAACGAACACUGAAUCUACUUUUUUUUUUUUCUUCACUUGAUUAUUUGGUUCAGUGAGAAGUUUAUGAACUGGAACUUAAUGUGCAGGCAACUGCAGGGAGCUUGACUACUUGAUAGACAUUUGGGGGAAACUUAGUGAUUCUCAUUGUAAUACAGUAAAAUGCUUGCUAGUAAUUGCUACCUUUAGGAAGUAAAAAGCUUUGGUUUUAGCUUUUCUAGAUAUUUUUAAAAGGCUUUUUAAAAUUUGUAAAAAUCCUGUAAACAUUAAUCAAUCCAGUUGGUUUUUAAUACUUAUUUAAAAUAUGUUCUUCAGACUAAUAUUAGAGACAAUAAUAGAGUACUCUUGGACUAUAGAGCUUGUCUAAUAUUUCUUUCAUCACUGUACAAAGCAUGAUGUUUUGUAUGUAGUGGGUUCUCAAAACAUAUCUAUAUCCCCAACCUAGACCUCCCAAGUAUUUUAUAUCCAAUUGCUUACUCAGCAUUCUUCCUAGGAUGUCUAAUAGGCAUUACAAAAUUAACUUGUCAAAAACCAGACUCCUGAUAUUUUCCUCUAAACUACCACCACCACCUCCUCCUUUCCUCCUCCUCCUCCUCCUUCUCUCUCUUCCUUGUUCUCCUUCCUUUCCUCCUCCUCCUCCUUCUCUCUCUUCCUUGUUCUCCUUCCUUUCCUUCCUUUCCUUCCUUCCCUUCCCUUCCCUUCCCUUCCCUUCCCUUCCCUUCCCUUCCCUUCUUUCCCUCCCUCCCUCAUUGCUCUUUCUUCUUCCUUCUUCUUCUUUUGCUUUCUUCGAUUAGAGAUGGGGUCUUGCUAUGUCGCUCAGGCUGGACUUGAACUCCUGGGCUCAAGACAUCCUCCCAGGCAGCUGGACUAUAGGCAUGCACCAUUGUGCCUGGCUUAUUUCUUUCUCUCCUUAAGAUGAGUCUUCCCCAUCUCAGGAGAUACUAACUCCAUCUUUCCAGUUGCUAAGGACAAUAACUGUGGAAUCAUCCUUUACAUUUAUCUCUUACAUCAGUUGAUCAAAAAGUAAUUUCAGGGUCAGGUGCAGUGGCUUAUGCUUAUAAUUCCAGCACUUUGGGAGGCCAAGGCGGGUGUAUUGCUUGAGCUCACGAGUUGAGACCAGCCUGGACAAUAUAGCAAGACCUCAUCUCUACAAAAAAUACAAAAAUUAGCCAGACAUAGUGGCAUGUGCCUGUGGUCCCAGCUACUCAGGAGGAUGAGGUGGGAGGAUCACUUGAGACCAGAAGGUUGAGGCUGCAGUGAGUCGUGACUGCACCACUGCACUCCAGCCUGAGUGACAGAGUAAGACCCUGUCUCAAAAAAAAAAAAAAAGAAGUAAUUUCAGCAAUGCCUUCAAAAUAUAUCAAAAAUCCAACCACUUCACACCACCUCCAUGGCCACCACUCUACUUUGAGUCACUAUCCCUUCUCACUUGAAUGACUGCAAUAGCCCCUCAACUAGUUGCCCUGAUUCUGCCCUUGCCCCACUUCAGUUUCUUUUCAGCUCUGUAACACCAGAGUUACCAGAGUUAUCCUUUUAACCCACACCCACUUCUCUGAGCUUACCUCCUAGACUCUCCUUCUCGCUUGUCAUGAUAGGGCCACACUGGCCUCCUAGCUGAUACUUAAACACUCCAAUCGUGCUCCUGGCUGAGAACUUUUGCAUUUGCUCUUCCCUCCACCUGGAAUGCAUUUCUCCCAGAUAUCCUCAAGGCUUUCUUCCUCACCUCCUUUAGGUCUUUACUCAGACAUGACCCACUUAGUGAAGCUUUUCCAGACCAGCAUAUUUAAAGUUGCAAACAGUAGCCCCUACUCCUCAUAUGAUCACUCCUGAUCCUUAUUCCUUGGCUUAUUUUCCAUUAUAGUUCUCAUUGUCAUCUGAUACAUUGUAUUUUUACUUAUUAUAUGAUUUAAAAGAAAAACAACAAGGCAAAAUAAGAGAUUUUGUCUGAGCACAGUGGCUCACACCUGUAAUCACAGCACUUUGGGAAGAUGAGGUGGGAGGAUUGCUUGAGACCAGGAGUUCGAGGCUGCAAUGAGCUAUGAUCACACCACUGUACUCCAGACUGGGUGAUAGUGCAAGGCCCUGUCUCUAAAAAAAAUGAAGAAGAAGCCAGUGGAGGAAGGGGGGAGAUUUUUGUCUAUUUUGCAUAUUUCUGUAUACAAGUGCCUAGAAUAUAGUACUAAGAACACUCAGAAUGGUGUCUGGAAUAUAGUAGGUGCUCAAAAAGUAGUAGUUGCAGAAUAAAUAAAUAAAGAACUGUACUGGAAAGCAGAUAAACAAGCAGAAAAUUGUAUACAAUGAGAUAUGUGCUAUGACUAUGAGGAUGUAAUGAGGACAUACAAUAGGGGCACCAAGUGCCUUUGGGGUGGGGAGGAGUCAGGGAAGACUACUUGAGGAGUGGAUAUCUGCGUUGAUUCUUGAAGAGCCAGUAAGCAAUAGCCAGAUGAAUGAUUGCAUGAAAGAAUGUUGAUGAGAAAGGAUGAAAUGGAACCCAGAGUGACCCUAGCUAGGGGUCCAGAGGGCUGGAGGGAAGGAGUUGGACAUGAGUGCAAAUGGAGACUGUAGUUGUUGGAAUAGGGGAAGGGAGUAAAGGAACAGAAUUUGAGGAUAUUCCUGGCUGCUAUCUUUUUUUUUUUUUUGAGUUUAAGAACUUCAACUCUAUGACCUGUCUAUUCACCAUACAUAUGAGACAGGUCCAUUAUAAUCCUUACCUCAUUAUAUAAUAGCUCUUUUUUAUUAUUAUACUUAAAGUUCUGGGGUACAUGUGCAGAACGUGCAGGUUUGUUACAUAGGUAUACACAUGCCAUGGUGGUUUGCUGCAUCCAUCAACCUGUCAUCUACAUUAGGUAUUUCUCUUAAUGCUAUCCCUCCCCUAGCUCCCCACCCCCUGAAAGGCCCUGGUGUGUGACGUUCUCCUCCCAGUGUCCAUGUGUUCUCAUUGUUCAACUCCCACUUAUGAGUGAGAACAUGCGGUGUUUGGUUUUCUGUCCUUGUGUUAGUUUGCUGAGAAUGAUGGUUUCCAGCGUCAUCCAUGUCCCUGCAAAGGACAUGAACUCAUCCUUUUUUAUGGCUGCAUAGUAUUCCAUAGUGUAUAUGUGGCAGAUUUUCUUUGUCCAGUCUAUCAUUGAUGGGCAUUUGAGUUGGUUGCAAGUCUUUGCUAUUGUGAACAGUGCUUGGCUGCUAUCUUAAUGUUUCCUACGAAUUAGAGAUGAAGUUAGCAUUAUAGUACAAUGAAUCAUUGGUUGAUCACUU
rnacentral:lncRNA from 10 species